UGUUUAGCAGUGAAGUGAAGCUUCUCUUUCGUCUACAGAGGUUUGUUUCUCUACUUCAGUUUUUUUUUCUCUCCACUAUUACAUUGUUGGAUUUCAGUUGCGAAUUCGUCUAAAAGGUUUAAAUUUGAAAUUCUAGGGUUUGUUACAACUUUAAUGGUGGAAGAAACAAGUAAUGGUAAACGCAGAUGUCAAGGAAUCCAAAAGCGUCAUCUUGUUCCCCCGAUGAAAGACCUGUAAGUUCUAUUUAUCUCUCUUAUAUACAAAUCACUUGUUGUUGUUGUUCUUGUUGUUGUUGUUGUUGUUGUUUGCAAUGCUGGUUUAGUGAAUUCAUGUGAAUGCCACAUUUUAAUUGUUGAUGUUUAGUUAUGCUUUUGAAUGAAACUAUGCAAGAGGUUCAAGGUUUAGGAUAAUCUAUGGUUUACAUAACUACUGUAAUUAGGUUGUUUUCAAAUUUAAUACUAUUUAAUUUACUGUUGUGGUGUUUUGAUUGGUUGCUAGCAAUUUAUAUGAACAAGUUAGGCUAUUUGAUUGAUAGACUAUUGGUACUGGUGAUUGUAAGACUACAAUGUUCGUGGUUUAGUGUCAAGAGUUUUCUAUAAAUCAAACAUUAACAUGGUAAUUGGUGAGUAGGAAUCGAUACAAACUUUUUCAAGAAAGUUUUUUCUUUUCAAAAUUCAAUUAGUAAAUUUCUUGUAUCAGAUGCUUUAUACUAAACAAUAUUAAUGGGCUUCUUCUAUAUGUCAGAAGAAGCAACCUUGAAAAUUGACGAGUUUGAGGGAAACCACCCUUCAUAGUUAGAAGUAGAAGUGUCAGAGGAGGAGGGGUGCCAGCCUAGUUGGAACUGAGGUCUAAAAGUUAAACAAUGUCCUUACGAUGAUACACUGAUUUCAGUGACUAAUCUCUGGAAUUGAAUCAGAUCAAUCUUACAAUCUUCUUUCUUCAAAUUUGGUUACUUAUUAUUCUUGGCCCUACUUUAUGAAACUUUCUUUUGAUUGGUUUCUCAUUCUUUUUUGUAACUUUAGUUGAUGAUCUAAUUUGUCUUGGGCUACAAGCUGGUGGGAGUGAAAAUGGUUUAGAAGCUAUGAAUGACGCAGAACACUCUAGAGGUAAUAUUUUUGUAUUCAACUUUUUCAUACCCUUGUGCAUUCAUCUAAUUGAAUCAACAUUGUGUUUAUAGUGUGGAACAUUAUGAUGAAUGUCUUUUCUUUUACACAAUAUUGAUUGACUUGCAAAACUUAUUUUCUUAGGGCCAGCUGCUUCUUGUCCCCUUGAGAAGAUAUAUCUCUGUAGGUUUCUAAACUCAGGUGCCUUUGAAAGCUUAAGAUUCCCUUACUAAAAAUAUUUUACAUAAUCUUUAUUUGAAGAUAAUCACAAAAAGAGUAUUUCAUUACAGAUAGAUGCAGCAGUACUACAAUACCAGAAUAAAAACUUGUUCAGCAGUUAGAUGCCCAGAAACAUGAGUUGCAUCCUCUAGAAAACAUUGAGAGAUCUAACAGUUACACCGCUUUGUUGGGCUAAUUUGUUUUAAUAUUUUAUUGCAGUAAAUAAAUGUUGAAUCAGGUAUUGCCGCUAUCUUUUUUUUUUUUUUUUUCUAAUUUGGUUUAUCUUAUACUUGGCCUACUUUGUGAACCGCUUUGUUGAUUAUAUUGGAAUUUCUUUUUUGAAUUUUGGUUCUUCUUGUGCUACAAGCCUACAAUAUGCAGACACCUCGAGAGGUUAUAUACAAAGUGUUGGAUUAAUUAGAGGUUGAUGGUACCCAAUACUGGUAUGUAAUGCUGCUGAUGUAUUUCUCCAAUACCUUGCACUAUUUUCUUCAAAGUUUACGCUGGCCUUCAUCUUUCAGCGAUGUAUCACUGAUUUACAUCGUUGUUUGGGGAUUGGGAUAGUUCUUCUUGCGAUCAUUUUGGACCCUCUCUCAGGGCAUAAGCAGACUUCCCAUUUCUCGGUUCAGAUCUCUUUCUUUAAUUUGUUUUUAUGCAAGGAGCCAAGGAGUAUGAUUGUGAUGUUAGUAUUAUCAAGUGUGCAGAUGCUUGCUGCUGUCCAUCUUUCAGAACUUCAGGUAGCACAAGAUGAUCCACUAAAUUGCAAGAAGUUGAGGUCAAUAUUAUCUUUUUAUGUUGGUUCUUACCUUAAUGAUAGUGAUUGAUCUGUAUACAUCUACCAACUUUUAUAAUCUUUAGUUAGGGAUGAAAAUUUCAGGCUCUUAUACUUUCAAAUCAUGUUUUCAGAUACCCUCCAGCAACGAACGUGGUAUGCGACUUAAAGGCUGCCAUCCACUUGAAGUAUGACAUGGUUUAAUGGUAUGUUUUUGCAGUAACUGUAAUUGCCUUUUAUUAUUGCUAAAAUAGUUACUAUUAUAUCUGAGGCUCUGAGAACCACCUGCCUUGCUGGGUUGUAAUCUACUACAGUUUGUUAGAUUGAAGUAGUGUUGGUUUCUAACGCUUGAGUCGAUUACCAAAUGCAUUUCUUAUAUUACUGCAUUAUUUUACCACUGCAUCAUACACAUUUCAAAUAUAAGGCUUAGUGGCUCCAAACAUAACUUAAUUGUGCUCAUGUUGUUCAUCAUAUGUAAAAAGGGA
rnacentral:lncRNA from 1 species